UACGAAGGGGGCUAGCGUUGCUCGGAAUCACUGGGCGUAAAGGGUGCGUAGGCGGGUCUUUAAGUCAGGGGUGAAAUCCUGGAGCUCAACUCCAGAACUGCCUUUGAUACUGAAGAUCUUGAGUUCGGGAGAGGUGAGUGGAACUGCGAGUGUAGAGGUGAAAUUCGUAGAUAUUCGCAAGAACCCCAGUGGCGAAGGCGGCUCACUGGCCCGAUACUGACGCUGAGGCACGAAAGCGUGGGGAGCAAACAGG
rnacentral:rRNA from 1 species